rnacentral:rRNA from 1 species
UGUACCUCAGAUCAGGCAAGAUUACCCGCUGAGUUUAAGCAUAUCACUAAGCGGAGGAAAAGAAACUAA